UUUGGAAUAUUAGGACAAUGGGUGAGAGCCUGAUCCAGCCAUCCCGCGUGAAGGACGACGGCCCUAUGGGUUGUAAACUUCUUUUGUAUAGGGAUAAACCUUUCCACGUGUGGAAAGCUGAAGGUACUAUACGAAUAAGCACCGGCUAACUCCGUGCCAGCAGCCGCGGUAAUUAAAAA
rnacentral:rRNA from 1 species